rnacentral:rRNA from 1 species
AACGAACGCUGGCGGCGUGCCUAACACAUGCAAGUCGAACGGAAUAAGGGGCUUGCUCCUUAUUUAGUGGCGCACGGGUGAGUAACGCGUAGAUAAUCUGCCUGAUGAUCUGGGAUAACAUUUCGAAAGAGGUGCUAAUACCGGAUAAGCCCACGACGGCCUUGGUCGACGCGGGAAAAGGGGGGGACCAUUUGGCCUUCUGUCAUCAGAUGAGUCUGCGUACCAUUAGCUAGUUGGUGGGGUAAAGGCCUACCAAGGCUACGAUGGUUAGCUGGUCUGAGAGAAUGAUCAGCCACACUGGAACUGAGACACGGUCCAGACUCCUACGGGAGGCAGCAGUGGGGAAUUUUGCGCAAUGGGCGAAAGCCUGACGCAGCAACGCCGCGUGAGUGAUGAAGGCUUCCGGGUCGUAAAGCUCUGUCAAUGGGAAAGAAGUGUAUUGUAGCUAAUAUCUGCGAUACUUGACGGUACCCAUAAAGGAAGCACCGGCUAACUCCGUGCCAGCCGCCGCGGUAA